GUUCUCUAGAAGGACAGAACUAAUAAGAUAGACGUAUAUAUGAGAGGAGGUUUGUUAAGGAGAAUUGGCUCACAUGAUCACAAUUCCACAAUAAACUGUCUGCAAGCUGAGGAGCAGGGAAGCCAAUCCAAGUCCCAAAACUUCAAAAGUAGGGAAGCUGACAGUGCAGCCUUCACUCCGUGGCCAAGAGCCCCUGGCAAACCACUGGCUUAAGUCCAAGAGUUUAAAAGCUGACGAACUUGGAGUCUGAUGUUCCAGGGCAGGAAGCAUCCAGCACAGGAGAAAGCUGAAGGCCAGAAGACUUAGCAAGUAAAGUCCUUCUAUGCUCUUCUUCCUGCUUUAUUCUAGCCAUGCGGGCAGCUGAUGAGAUGGUGUCCACCAGAUUGAGGAUGGAUUGAGGGUGGGUCUGCGUCUCCCAGUCCACUGACUCAAAUGUUAAUCUCCUUUGUCAACACCCUCACAGACACACCCAGGAAGAAUACUUUGGGUCCAGGGGGCCACAUCAGCAUCUUUUUAGUGGAUGCCACUGAGUCCUGGGGGCAUCUGAAGGCACCACAUCACUGUCUCUGGGCACAAGGGCGUGUUGUCACAGAGAAGGCAACAGACGUGCAUGACAGGAAAGUAAGCUGUGGGAUCUCCUUGCAGCUGAUCUUGUCUCCCAACAGAUUCCCUUCGCUGCUGCCACAGUGAGCCACCGAAAUGCAAACCUGCCCUUCCCACUACCCCAUUUAAGAGCCUCGUCACCCCAGCAGCAUUUUGCAGUGUGUAUCCCAUGGAACAGUAGAGAUAAUUGGUGAAUAAAUAGGCUCCAUAGUCUAAUAAGUUUGGGAAACCGCAUCCUCUUUCUCCCACAUGAGGAAGUAUUUUCAUAUCCUAAAUUGUAAUAUUUUAAAGGAUCUGUGAAGUCCUGCAAUAAAGAUUUAUCCAAUUUUUCAAACCCAUUUGACCAAGCAAACUUUAUUCCCCUAAUGCAAACAAACCCCAGAGAGAAAUGUCUUGGGGACCGUCUUCCUGUAGGACAGCACCCUGCCUU
rnacentral:lncRNA from 1 species